CCUACGGGAGGCAGCAGUGAGGAAUAUUGGUCAAUGGUCGGGAGACUGAACCAGCCAAGCCGCGUGAGGGAUGAAGGUACAGAGGAUCGUAAACCUCUGUUGUCAGGGAACAAAGGCGGGGACGUGUCCCCGGAUGAGAGUACCUGAAGAAAAAGCAUCGGCUAACUCCGUGCCAGCAGCCGCGGUAAUACGGAGGAUGCGAGCGUUAUCCGGAUUUAGUGGGGGUCCAGGGUGCGCAGGCGGAAGCGGCAAGUCCGCGGUAAAAUUGCGGGGCUCAACCUCGCCGAGCCGUUGAAACUGCUCUUCUAGCGUGGGCGAGACGUCUGCGGCAUGCGUGGUGUAGCGGUGAACUGC
rnacentral:rRNA from 1 species